rnacentral:rRNA from 1 species
UACGGAGGGUGCAAGCGUUGUCCGGAUUUAUUGGGUUUAAAGGGUGCGUAGGUGGCCUUGUAAGUCCGUGGUGAAAGCCUCUUGCUCAACAAGAGAACUGCCAUGGAUACUGCCGGGCUUGAGUGUAGACGAGGGUGGCGGAAUAGAGGCUGUAGCGGUGAAAUGCAUAGAUAGCCUCUAGAACCCCGAUUGCGAAGGCAGCUGCCUAGACUACAACUGACACUGAGGCACGAAAGCGUGGGGAGCGAACAGG